GAGGGUACAGCUCAGUGGUAGAGCGUGUGUUUAGCAUGCAUGAAGUCCUGAGUUCAUUCCCCAGUACUGCCA
rnacentral:tRNA from 1 species